rnacentral:tRNA from 1 species
GGAGAGGUGGCUGAGCGGUCGAAAGCGGCAGAUUGCUAAUCUGUUAUAUGGCUUUUUUCAUAUCGAGGGUUCGAAUCCCUCCUUCUCCGA